GCCGGGCAUGGUGGUGUGCACCUGUAAUCCCAGCUACUUGGGAGGCUGAGGCAGGAGAAUCGCUUGAACCUGGGAGGUGGAGGUUGCAGUGAGCCAGGACCACACCGCUGCACUCUAGCCCAGGUAACAGAGCGAGACUCUGUCUCAA
ensembl:misc_RNA Metazoa_SRP Metazoan signal recognition particle RNA